UGCCAGACUCCUACGGGAGGCAGCAGUGAGGAAUAUUGGUCAAUGGCCGAGAGGCUGAACCAGCCAAGUCGCGUGAGGGAAGAAUGUCCUAUGGAUUGUAAACCUCUUUUGUCAGGGAGCAAAGUCACCCACGUGUGGGUGUUGGAGAGUGCCUGAAGAAAAAGCAUCGGCUAACUCCGUGCCAGCAGCCGCGGUAAUACGGAGGAUCCGAGCGUUAUCCGGAUUCAUUGGGUUUAAAGGGUGCGUAGGUUGUUUUAUAAGUUAGCGGUGAAAUACCGAUGCUCAACAUCGGGGCUGCCGCUAAUACUGUAGGACUAGAGAUCGGAUGCAGCAGGCGGAAUGUGUAGUGUAGCGGUGAAAUGCAUAGAUAUUACACAGAACACCGAUUGCGAAGGCAGCUUGCUAGGCCGGAUCUGACACUGAUGCACGAAAGCGUGGGGAUCGAACAGGAUUAGAUACCCGGGUA
rnacentral:rRNA from 1 species